rnacentral:rRNA from 1 species
UACGUAGGGCGCAAGCGUUAUCCGGAAUUAUUGGGCGUAAAGAGCUCGUAGGCGGUUUGUCGCGUCUGCCGUGAAAGUCCGGGGGCUCAACUCCGGAUCUGCGGUGGGUACGGGCAGACUAGAGUGAUGUAGGGGAGACUGGAAUUCCUGGUGUAGCGGUGAAAAUGCGCAGAUAUCAGGAGGAACACCGAUGGCGAAGGCAGGUCUCUGGGCAUUAACUGACGCUGAGGAGCGAAAGCAUGGGGGAGCGAACAGG